rnacentral:SRP_RNA from 1 species
GCUGGGCAUGGUGGCCAGUGCCUGUAGUCUCAGCUACUCAGGAGGCUGAGGUGGGAGGAUCGUUUGAGCCCAGGAGUUCUGGGCCGUAGCACUAUGCUGAUCGGGUGUCUGCACUAAAUUCGGCAUCAAUAUGGUGACCUCCUGGGAGCGGGGAACCACCGGGAUGCCUAAGGACGGGUGAACCGGCCCAGGUCAGAAACAGAGCAGGUCAAAACUCCUGUGCUGAUCAGUAGUGGGAUCAUGCCUGUGAAUAGCCACUGCACGCCAGCCUGGGCAACAUAGCAAGACCAAGUCUCU